AUGACGCUGGCGGCAGGCCUAACACAUGCAAGUCGAACGGUAACAGGAAGCAGCUUGCUGCUUCGCUGACGAGUGGCGGACGGGUGAGUAAUGUCUGGGGAUCUGCCUGAUGGAGGGGGAUAACUACUGGAAACGGUAGCUAAUACCGCAUAACGUCGCAAGACCAAAGAGGGGGACCUUCGGGCCUCUUGCCAUCAGAUGAACCCAGAUGGGAUUAGCUAGUAGGUGGGGUAACGGCUCACCUAGGCGACGAUCCCUAGCUGGUCUGAGAGGAUGACCAGCCACACUGGAACUGAGACACGGUCCAGACUCCUACGGGAGGCAGCAGUGGGGAAUAUUGCACAAUGGGCGCAAGCCUGAUGCAGCCAUGCCGCGUGUAUGAAGAAGGCCUUCGGGUUGUAAAGUACUUUCAGCGAGGAGGAAGGUGGUAAGGUUAAUAACCUUAUCAAUUGACGUUACUCGCAGAAGAAGCACCGGCUAACUCCGUGCCAGCAGCCGCGGUAAUACGGAGGGUGCAAGCGUUAAUCGGAAUUACUGGGCGUAAAGCGCACGCAGGCGGUCUGUCAAGUCGGAUGUGAAAUCCCCGGGCUCAACCUGGGAACUGCAUUCGAAACUGGCAGGCUAGAGUCUUGUAGAGGGGGGUAGAAUUCCAGGUGUAGCGGUGAAAUGCGUAGAGAUCUGGAGGAAUACCGGUGGCGAAGGCGGCCCCCUGGACAAAGACUGACGCUCAGGUGCGAAAGCGUGGGGAGCAAACAGGAUUAGAUACCCUGGUAGUCCACGCCGUAAACGAUGUCGACUUGGAGGUUGUUCCCUUGAGGAGUGGCUUCCGGAGCUAACGCGUUAAGUCGACCGCCUGGGGAGUACGGCCGCAAGGUUAAAACUCAAAUGAAUUGACGGGGGCCCGCACAAGCGGUGGAGCAUGUGGUUUAAUUCGAUGCAACGCGAAGAACCUUACCUGGCCUUGACAUCCACGGAAUUCGGCAGAGAUGCCUUAGUGCCUUCGGGAACCGUGAGACAGGUGCUGCAUGGCUGUCGUCAGCUCGUGUUGUGAAAUGUUGGGUUAAGUCCCGCAACGAGCGCAACCCUUAUCCUUUGUUGCCAGCGAUUCGGUCGGGAACUCAAAGGAGACUGCCGGUGAUAAACCGGAGGAAGGUGGGGGAUGACGUCAAGUCAUCAUGGCCCUUACGGCCAGGGCUACACACGUGCUACAAUGGCGUAUACAAAGAGAAGCGAACUCGCGAGAGCAAGCGGACCUCAUAAAGUACGUCGUAGUCCGGAUCGGAGUCUGCAACUCGACUCCGUGAAGUCGGAAUCGCUAGUAAUC
rnacentral:rRNA from 1 species